AUUGAACGCUGGCGGCAUGCUUUACACAUGCAAGUCGAACGGCAGCGCGGGCUUCGGCCUGGCGGCGAGUGGCGAACGGGUGAGUAAUGCAUCGGAACGUGCCCAGUAGUGGGGGAUAGCCCGGCGAAAGCCGGAUUAAUACCGCAUACGACCUGAGGGUGAAAGCGGGGGACCGAAAGGCCUCGCGCUAUUGGAGCGGCCGAUGUCGGAUUAGCUAGUUGGUGGGGUAAAGGCUUACCAAGGCGACGAUCCGUAGCUGGUCCGAGGGGACGACCAGCCAGACUGGGACUGAGACACGGCCCAGACUCCUACGGGAGGCAGCAGUGGGGAAUUUUGGACAAUGGGGGCAACCCUGAUCCAGCCAUGCCGCGUGCGGGAAGAAGGCCUUCGGGUUGUAAACCGCUUUUGUUCGGGAAGAAAUCCUCUGGGCUAAUACCCCGGGGGGAUGACGGUACCGGAAGAAUAAGCACCGGCUAACUACGUG
rnacentral:rRNA from 1 species